rnacentral:rRNA from 1 species
GACGAACGCUGGCGGCGUGCUUAACACAUGCAAGUCGAACGGAAAGGUCCUGCCUUUGUGGGGUGCUCGAGUGACGACGGGGGAAGUUACACGUGAGUAACCUGCAAUUGACUUUGGGAUAACUUCAGGACACUGGGGCUAAUACCGGCUAGGAGCUCCUGCUGCAUGGUGGGGGCUGGUUAGUUUCGGUGGUUGGUGAUGGACUCGCGGCUUAUCAGCUUGGUGGUGGGGUAGUGGCUUAGCAUGGCCAUGAACGGUAGCCGGGCUGAGAGGGUGACCGGACACAUUGCGACGGAGAUACGGCCCAGACUCCAAUGGGAGGCAACGGAGGGGAAUAGAGCACAAUAGGCGGAAGCCUGAUGCAGCAACGCCGCGUGGGGGAUGACGGGAAGCGGGUAGUAAAGCGCUGCCGCCUGUGACGGAGCGAGAGUGACGGUAAUGGGUAAAGAAGCACCGGCUAACUACGUG